rnacentral:rRNA from 1 species
CUCCUACGGGAGGCAGCAGUGAGGAAUAUUGGUCAAUGGGCUUACGCCUGAACCAGCCAAGUCGCGUGAGGGAAGACUGCCCUAUGGGUUGUAAACCUCUUUUGUCAGGGAGCAACGCCGGCUACGUGUAGCCGGACUGAGAGUACCUGAAGAAAAAGCAUCGGCUAACUCCGUGCCAGCAGCCGCGGGAAUACGGAGGAUCCGAGCGUUAUCCGGAAUCAUUGGGUUUAAAGGGUGCGUAGGUUGUUUUAUAAGUUA